GUAAGUGGCCAUGAAACAGAAAUUAGCUGAGCCUUGAAAUAUGAAGAACUAGAGUAAGGGAGCCUCUGAUAAGAGAAGACACAAGAGUGUGUCUUAGAAGAAGAAACAAAUCAAGAUGUUAUCCUCAGACUCACUCCAGGUUUCAAUCCUUGGAUACUGUGGCUUUGCAGAGAAAGAAGUGACUUUUGAAGCCUUUACCUGUAGGGAGGGCUCAGUGCAGAAUUGUGUCCUGACAAUGAACUUAUCUACCAUCUAUAAGAAGAGAUGGACUCUGCUGGUGUCUUGGGUUUGGAUUACCAGCUGCCAAAACUGAUGAAGGAAAUGCUUGUCUCCAGGAGCUGACACAUCCCUGGUCAUAUUUCAGAUACAAUUAGCCCCCAUUGAUGGUGGUGGCUGAUCUGUCAAGCAUCAGAGUCCUUCCAUCAAAUUCUGGAGGAUAACCAAAAGUACUAGCAGCAGUUUUAAUGUUUAAGGACAGGAACCUACAGAACUACACUUACCAACAACUCCAAAAAGAGAUGAAUAACAUACCAUUCUUUAUGAGUAGUAAAUAUUCAUUAUCCAUUCAUUGGUAAUGCACAUCUAAGCUAUUUCCAUUUCCUGGCUAUUGGAAGGAUGGCAAUGAACAUGGAUACGCAGUUCUCUCUACAGUAGGACACAGGGUCCUUUGGACACAGGCCCAGGGAUUCUAUAACUGAAUAACAUGGACACUGUAUUUCUAGUUUUUUGUGCAAUCUACACACAGAUUUCCAUACUGACUAUUUUAACUUGUAUCC